rnacentral:rRNA from 1 species
AGUGAACGCUGGCGGUAGGCCUAACACAUGCAAGUCGAACGGCAGCACAGUAAGAGCUUGCUCUUACGGGUGGCGAGUGGCGGACGGGUGAGGAAUACAUCGGAAUCUGCUUUUUCGUGGGGGAUAACGUAGGGAAACUUACGCUAAUACCGCAUACGACCUACGGGUGAAAGCAGGGGAUCUUCGGACCUUGCGCGAUUGAAUGGGCCGAUGUCGGAUUAGCUAGUUGGCGGGGUAAAGGCCCACCAAGGCGACGAUCCGUAGCUGGUCUGAGAGGAUGAUCAGCCACACUGGAACUGAGACACGGUCCAGACUCCUACGGGAGGCAGCAGUGGGGAAUAUUGGACAAUGGGCGCAAGCCUGAUCCAGCCAUACCGCGUGGGUGAAGAAGGCCUUCGGGUUGUAAAGCCCUUUUGUUGGGAAAGAAAAGCAGCAGGUUAAUACCCCGCUGUUCUGACGGUACCCAAAGAAUAAGCACCGGCUAACUUCGUG